AUGCUAACAGUGGAUGAGUUUAAAACUGCAUGGAAAGAACUGUUAGAAGCAUACAGUUUACAGAAUCACCCAUACCUAACUAACAUAUAUGAAACGAGAAAAAAAUGGGCAAAACCAUAUUUCAAUGGAAAAUUUUGUGCAAAAAUGUCAAGCACGCAGCGUAGCGAGAGUGCCAACCAUAUGCUCAAAGGUUAUGUGCCAGCCAGUUGUCCAAUGCACCUGUUCGUGCGUCAGUACAUGCGACUCCUGUUUGACAGGGAGGCAAGCGAAAACUAUGAAGAGAGGUGCACAAAGAUACUAAGAUUUUGA
rnacentral:rRNA from 1 species